rnacentral:lncRNA from 1 species
UUGCUAAUUUUUACUUUUGAAAGUAAAUAUUGAGGCUACAUACUUACACAAGUUUUGUUUAAGUAGUGUGAGUUUAAUAGUUUCAUUUUAAAUCAAAUCACAUAAUAAGUUUUUCUUCUUUCAUUUUGAACCUUGUUGAGUCUGUGAAUUAGAAAUGUAUUUCUAAUCAACCACUGUGUGGUUAAUGGGACCAUUGAAAAUGAGAUUUUGUUAAUUAUGAUUUUCCUAUGGGGCUCAUGUGUCAGGUUCUUACCUUUUACAGAUAUUUACUCAUCUUUCUUUUUUCAAAACAAAUGACAUUUUUAAAUGUCAGUGUGACUUCUUUUUUAUAAUCUUGACGUAUAUAUAUUUUUCAAAUGGGAUUUUGUACAUUUUUAAAGAAAGGGUUUUCUUAACCUUCUAAACAAUUGGUAGAUUAACAAAUGUUGUCUUUUUCAUUUACUGAGAAGAUAUCUGCAAAUAUCCCAUCAUACAUGUGGACUGGAUCAAUAUAUAAGUUUGCCACACUUUUUGUUUGAGGUUGAUCAUCAUUAGGUGCUCACAACUAAAGGUGUUUUUGCCUCAUAUAAAUUUUAGUUCUCAUCCUUAUGUUGUUAAAAAUGAUUAUUUUGAUUGUAACUUGUCCUUCCACCAAGGCCAUAGUUUUUGUCAAACAGGAUGCAGUGAACUAGUCAGUCCAUCCAACAUCUGUAAAUGGCUAUGUGGCUCAUCAGUGAAGGCAUUCUCCAUAGAAUGUCCAUCAGUAUGGGUAUUUGUUUAGGGAUUGGCUUGGAUGCGGUGCAGUGAGGCAUCUCCUUCUGUUGGAUGUGCUGAUGAGCUGAAUGCAUUUGAUCUUUGGUAACCACAUUAGUUCUACCGGAAGCCAAAGUAAUGGAAAGAAAGCAAACCUAAUUUAUGAGAUAUAUAUGUCAGUCAUCUUAGUGAGAAUAGGGAAGUCCUGUUCAUUUUUGUGACUCACAAUGUAUUCUGUUCUACCAGUAUUUAAAGACAAAUUUACAGGAUGUCUGUGUUUUCAUCUUGAUCCAUUUUAUUCACUGAGGAACAUUAUCUGCUUUCAGAGGUGUGUGAUAGUGUCUUCAUAAGGCCUUGCUAUGUGAGUCUGGCUCUAGUUUUUGCCUUUGUCACUUAUUAUAUUUCCUACAUUGCAUUGGACAGUGUUCUCGAUUCCACCGUGCAGCCAGCAUGCUGGUUUCAUACAAGAGGUUUGUAGCAUAGAAGUUAACUAGUGAGAUCAAAAUAAACACACAAGACUCAAUUACCUUUUUCUUUGACCAGGUCCGAGACAGCCCUCCCUCUAGCUCUCGCCUGGAACCACCCGGUGGGGCAGCAAAGCUGACUCAGGACUAGCAGGAGAGAGAGAGAGAGGGCACGCCAGGGAGUGGCCUUUUAUUGGGGAACAAGAAAUUCAGGGGAAAAUUCCAUCCAAUGAAGGUCGAGGGGGGCAGCAUUCCAAGGUCAAGGUCAGUGAUUGGUCUCAGGGUCAAUGGUCAGUCACACCCCCACACGGACAGGCUCUCGCACCUGGAGAGGGCGGGGAUAAGCUCCAAUACAGUUUGGCCAGAACGCCUCACACCCAAUCAGGGAGGUGCCCAAUCACAUGCAAGAAUGGCUUCCCACACUCGAUGAAUACAGAUACCUUUCAACUUUCAAUGUUGUUAUCAUAAGCCCACACUAAGGUGACAAUAUCAUAAAUUCAUAUGUUAAAUGUGAAUUUAUGAUAUUGUAUAAAAUGUGCUUAAAGCAGGUAACUUACUGAACAUCACAGUUGAGCCUAGACUACCUAGAAUUUGAUGAGAUCACUUAUAUUAUCCUAUGGGCUAUUUAAUAAUAAAAUAUUAAAAUAUCUCAUUUAAUUCAUUGAAUACAGAACACUGUGCAAUAUCAGUUUUUAUGGUCCUGAAAAGGGAGCCAAAUGGACUGCAAUCACCACAGCUCUCCAGCCUCAUCAAAAAGCGCAGUAGUGCAUACCACUACCCCAGCAUGAGAUUAGACUUUGAAAACCAAAGUCAUUUUCUCCUGAACACAUUCACUUUCUCACCAUUUUCACAGUGAGAAGUUGUAAGUCAAACCCUCAUAAGGUAGUGAUCAUCCUCAUGUCAGUUAAAUAUAUAAAUUCACUUACUCCUUAGCAUGAUUAUAAUAAUUCUCUUUAAAUUUCCUUUAUGAGUCUAAGGAGUGCAAUAUGUUCAGGUAAAUUAUCAGCAGAAGCCUUGGAAAGGACAGACAGUAUCACUGUUGCAAUCAAGCUUUUGUUUUUCAGAAGUUAUGCCUUUGAUGGUGAAGUUCUAAGCAGCCCUUGUGUGCCAGCAUGCUAGACUGGAGAUGUAGAAUUAAGCAGGAAUAAUCCGGGCAUGCUAUACUCUAAAUACAGUAGCAAUGUGAAAAAAAUUACUCUUGCCAAUGCUAGUGUUUAUAUUUUUGUGAGAAAAGUGAGGUGGUGAACUCAUGUUGAAACUUCCAUUCAUAAGAUGAAAUAAGGGCUAUGAAUGAAAGAAAUUAACGAUGGCAGGUGACAAUAUAGAAACUGGGGUGUCUGCUCUGUGAAGGGUCAGUGUGUGAGUAAGUGAGGAUGGCAUUGUUGAUCGCGUCUGUUUCCAUACCCACUGCCUCCCUCCUUAACAGCAUGUCCACAGCUCUUCAUGUAUCAGUGUGGACACUGGAGGUACUGCAGGCAGACCUGCCUGGUGGGACUGACCAUUGUGAUUCUCUGUGGACAGACAGAAUAGAUCUUGUGCAUUAUUUUUGCAGUGGUUAAAUGUUUUAGUACAUGUCAUGGGGGAUCUUGGGUUUGGCCAUGAGAUUCUGGAACCUGAGCUUUCUCCUUACUUUAAACCAUAAGUAUCUGGGGUGUGUCUGCCGUCAUUUUAGGAUUUUAAACUACCUUUUAUAUAUGGCCAUGCCAUUCUAUUGUACAGAGUGAGUGAUGCGAAGUGUAUACUCUCGGGCCCUUGAGUUCCGCCCAGUUUGAGAAUGGGAUGUGGUCAUCUACAUAGUGCUGACCGAUCAUGUGCUGCCUUUGGAUUUUCUGUGUUUAAACACUGUAGGCAUACGGGCACCCUUACUCUAUGUUACUUGAAAUGAAGUUCAAUUAAAUUUAAUUUAAUUUUAAAUUAAUGAAAUGAAGUUUCUAGUAAAGAUCAAUCCACACCGCCUUACUUAUGUUUUUCCAAAGUUCCACUGUGCUUGUUCCUCCAGUAAGUAGCCAUUGAAUAUAUUUUGUAAUGUUCUGGGAAAUAAAAAUGUCCAAGACAUAAAUUCAAUUAUUAAAAAAAAUAUAUAAAUCUGUACUUUCCAUUGAGAC